UCUGGACUCGCCGAACUGCUCAGUAACACGUAGCUAACCUGCCCUAAAGAGGAGGAUAAUCCUGGGAAACUGGGGAUAAUACUCCAUAGUUGUCUGGUACUGGAAUGUCCUUACAACCAAAGCUUCGGCGCUUUAGGAUGGGGUUGCGGCCUAUCAUGGCAGUUGUGAGUGUAAAGUACUCACAAACCUGUAACGGGUAAGGGUCAUGAAAGUGAGAGCCCUGAGAUGUUUUCUGAGACAUGAAAACAGGUCCUACGGGACGCAGCAAGCGCGAAACCUUUCCAAUGGCUUAGCGGUCGAGAAGGGAAUCCUGAGUGACCAUACUUAGUAUGGUCUUUUGUCUUGUGUAAAAAGCAAGACGAAUAAGUGGUGGGUAAGACGGGUGGCAGCCGCCGCGGUAAUACCCGCGCCACGAGUGGUGACCACUUUUAUUUGGUUUAAAGCGUCCGUAGCCGGUUUAGCAAGUUCUUGGUGAAAUUCAGCAGUUGACUGUUGAGCGUGCUGAGAGUACUACUAGACUUGGGAUUGGGAGAGGGUAGGGGUAUUCCAUGUGUAGGGGUUAAAUCCUUUAAUCCAUGGAGGACCACCGGUGGCGAAGGCGCCUACCUGGAACAAGUCCGACGGUGAGGGACGAAAGCGUGGGGAGCAAAUGGGAUUAGAUACCCGAGUAGUCCCAGCCGUAAACGAUGCAGGC
rnacentral:rRNA from 1 species